rnacentral:pre_miRNA from 1 species
AGUAGAAUUGCUGGGUCAUAUGGUAGGUUUAUGUUUAAUUUUUUAAGAAAUUGCUAAACUGCUUUCCAAAGUGGCUGCACCAUUUUGCAUUGUCACCAGUGAU